UAGGACUGACUAACCACUACAAUCAAUCAAAUGCAUUCUAUAACAUUCUAUCGUCAUCAUUUCCAAGCAAUCACAGUUCUAUAUAUACCUUACUAACAACCUAGCGAUCAACCAACACAUUGAACUCAGUCAUUGCUACACAUAAUUACGAUAGACUCGACAUACACCUUCACAAAAUACUGACUUGACUUCACGCAACUUAGACGUAUGGACCUAUAGCCGUUUACGGAUGUCCCUACGCGUUCCGGCCUAACCUGGAAGGGCGCCUCUUUCGAGCAUUCGUCCCCCUCCAGCUUCCUACAUGGCUAUCCGAGUUGCAGCACGUUGGCCCAUCCUGGCACUGUCCACCACCCGGUCAUAAUAGCCAUAAUUACGCCACGACUCGGCAUUGACUCGAUCUUAAGGCGCCUACACCGAUCCUGUCAGUCCACGGUCACCGUCCUUUCACAGCCCUUACUUAUUUCUAUCCCGCCCUCGCGCGGUCCUUUCUCAUCUCGCCCACGGGUACCUCAUGUUAGGCUAAGUCCCGUGGGCUCCUGCGGGUACCUCGUGUUAGGCUACUGUCCCGCAGGUUCACACAUCCUAGAUUCUAGACGCCCACCCGUUCUCUGUGGUCCAAACAGGACAUCAAGCAAGUUCAUUGACACGUCACAUUCUUAUUCUCAUUCACGUUCUCAUUCACAUUCUCAUUACUCAUUUCUCAUUCACUUUCACAUUCUCAUUACUCAUUUCCCAUUCCCUUUCACAUUCUCUUGCACUUAGACUCGUACUCAUACUCGUUCACUAGACGCCACCUGUUAUCGGUGGCUCACACAAUACACGUCACACGCUCAAACACAACAGCUG
rnacentral:lncRNA from 1 species